rnacentral:rRNA from 1 species
AGCAGCCGCGGUAAUUCCAGCUCCAAUAGCGUAUAUUAAAGUUGUUGCAGUUAAAAAGCUCGUAGUUGAAUUUCGGGAUCAAAUUGUUGGUCGUGCCUCGGUACGCACUGGUAUUAUUGGUUCCUACCUUCUGAAGAACCGCGAUGUCAUUAAUUUGGUGUCGUGGGGAAUCAGGACUGUUACUUUGAAAAAUUGAGUGUUUAAAGCAGGCUUACGCUUGAAUACAUUAGCAUGGAAUAAUGAAAUAGGACGUUUGAUUCUAUUUUGUUGGUUUCUAGGAUUGACGUAAUGAUUAAUAGGGAUAGUUGGGGGCAUUAGUAUUCAAUUGUCAGAGGUGAAAUUCUUGGAUUUAUUGAAGACUUAACUACUGCGAAAGCAUUUUGCCAAGGAUGUUUUCAUUAAUCAAGAACGAAAGUUAGGGGAUCGAAGACGAUCAGAUACCGUCGUAGUCUUAACCAUAAACUAUGCCGAACUAGGGAUCGGAUGAUGUUAAUUUUUAAUGACUCAUUCGGCG